AACGAACACUGGCGGCAUGCCUAACACAUGCCAGUCGAACGAGACCUUCGGGUCUAGUGGCGCACGGGUGCGUAACGCGUGGGAACCUGCCCUUAGGUUCGGAAUAACUCCCCGAAAGGGGUGCUAAUACCGGAUAAUGUCUUCGGACCAAAGAUUUAUCGCCUUUGGAUGGGCCCGCGUUGGAUUAGCUAGUUGGUAGGGUAAAAGCCUACCAAGGCGACGAUCCAUAGCUGGUCUGAGAGGAUGAUCAGCCACACUGGGACUGAGACACGGCCCAGACUCCUACGGGAGGCAGCAGUGGGGAAUAUUGGACAAUGGGCGAAAGCCUGAUCCAGCAAUGCCGCGUGAGUGAUGAAGGCCUUAGGGUUGUAAAGCUCUUUUACCCGGGAUGAUAAUGACAGUACCGGGAGAAUAAGCGCCGGCUAACUCCGUG
rnacentral:rRNA from 1 species